rnacentral:rRNA from 1 species
ACGAACGCUGGCGGCGUGCUUAACACCUGCCAGUCGUACGAUGACCCGGCUCUUCGGAGCUGGUGAUUAGUGGCGAACGGGUGAGUAACACGUGGGUGACCUGCCCUGCACUCUGGGAUAAGCCCGGGAAACUGGGUCUAAUACUGGAUACGACCAGUGGCCGCAUGGUCUGCUGGUGGAAAGCCCUUCGGGGUGGUGUGGGAUGGGCCCGCGGCCUAUCAGCUUGUUGGUGGGUGAUGGCCUACCAAGGCGACGACGGGUAGCCGGCCUGAGAGGGUGUCCGGCCACACUGGGACUGAGACACGGCCCAGACUCCUACGGGAGGCAGCAGUGGGGAAUCUGGCACAAUGGGCGAAAGCCUGAUGCAGCGACGCCGCGUGAGGGAUGACGGCCUUCGGGUUGUAAACCUCUUUCGGCAGGGAACAAGCCUGGGGGUUUUCUUCUGGGUGAGGGUACCUGCGGAAGAAGCACCGGCUAACUACGUG